UGGGGAAUCUUGCGCAAUGGGCGAAAGCCUGACGCAGCCAUGCCGCGUGAAUGAUGAAGGUCUUAGGAUUGUAAAAUUCUUUCACCGGGGACGAUAAUGACGGUACCCGGAGAAGAAGCCCCGGCUAACUUCGUGCCAGCAGCCGCGGUAAUACGAAGGGGGCUAGCGUUGCUCGGAAUUACUGGGCGUAAAGGGAGCGUAGGCGGACAUUUAAGUCAGGGGUGAAAUCCCGGGGCUCAACCUCGGAAUUGCCUUUGAUACUGGGUGUCUUGAGUGUGAGGGAGGUAUGUGGAACUCCGGGUGUAGAGGUAAAAGUCGUAGAUAUGCAGAAGACCACCAGUGGAGAAGGCGAGAUGCUGGCUCAUUACUGACGCUGAGGGUAGAAAGCGUGGGGAGAAAGCA
rnacentral:rRNA from 1 species